rnacentral:rRNA from 1 species
UACGUAGGGGGCAAGCGUUGUCCGGAUUUAUUGGGCGUAAAGAGCGUGUAGUCGGCCAGACAGGUCCGUUGUGAAAACUAGAGGCUUAACCUCUAGACGUCGAUGGAAACCGUCUGGCUAGAGUCCGGAAGAGGAGAAUGGAAUUCCUGGUGUAGCGGUGAAAUGCGCAGAUAUCAGGAAGAACACCGGUGGCGAAGGCGGCAUCCUGGACCGGCAUUGACGCUGAGGAGCGAAAGCCAGGGGAGCAAACGGG